AAUCUUGAAGAUUUUUAUAUCUUGCAAUCCAUUCCAAAAAAAUUGUUUACGAGUUUGGAUCGGCUAUAAAUGAGUUAGGUUUAAGAGAAAACUUAAUGAACGAAUGCUUUUGUAGUAAAAUUUGAUUAUCUAACCCAUCGACUAUUAAAGAAACUGAAGGAAUAUAUAAUUUAAUUUACAAAUAAAAAAUAAAAUAAAAAUAAAGACA
rnacentral:lncRNA from 1 species